GAUGAACGCUAGCUACAGGCUUAACACAUGCAAGUCGAGGGACCGGCGCACGGGUAAGUAACACGUAUCCAACCUUCACUUUACUCGCGGAUAGCCUUUCGACAGGAAGAUUAAUACUCGAUCUAUAGGAUGGGGAUGCGUUCGAUUAGGUGGUUGGUGAGGUAUCGGCCCACCAAGACUUCGAUGGAUAGGGGUGCUGAGAGGAAGGUCCACCACAUUGGAACUGCGGCACGGUCCAAACUCCUACGGGAGGCAGCAGUGAGGAAUAUUGUUCAAUGAGCGUUAGCCUGAACCAGCCAAGUAGCGGGAAGGAUGAAUGCUUAUUGGUCGUAAACUGUUUUUAUAUAAGAAUAGGUAUUAUAUGAAUAAGGAUCGGCUAACUACGUGCCAGCCGCCGCGGUAAUAC
rnacentral:rRNA from 1 species